CAUGAGAUCAAUUUUUUCUUAGUCAUCUGGGGUCCUGGUUGAAGCUCGGAUAUCCUCAGGUUGAACUAUGUUCGACCCUCGCUUUUCCAGAACUAUGGUUAGGCUCGACUGUCUUGAGUCAAUAUUUUAAGAUUUCUUUAAGUAUCUUUACUUUUUUUUUGGGGUAGAAGUAUCUUUAGUUGUUAUCGAUGCUUUUGUUAGAGGUC
rnacentral:lncRNA from 1 species